rnacentral:tRNA from 1 species
GUUCGCGUGGCCUAAUGGAUAAGGCGCUCGCCUCCGGAGCGGGAGAUUGAUUGUGGGUUCGAGUCCCACCGUGAACG